UUGGUAACAAGGGGUCUGGAGGAAGCCAAUAGCAAAACACUGGUCUGAUGUACAAGAAGCGGAUUUGAGGCGUAUUUGCUGGGUAAGAAAUCCUGCAUUUUCGAAGCCCAAUACAUACACGGAAAGCAAAUACGUAUAUCCGACAGACAUAAGUGUGAAAGCA
rnacentral:ncRNA from 1 species